rnacentral:rRNA from 14 species
UUGACCUCGGAUCAGGUGA